rnacentral:rRNA from 1 species
GACGAACGCUGGCGGUGUGCUUAACACAUGCAAGUCGAACGGUAAGGCCCUUUCGGGGGUACACGAGUGGCGAACGGGUGAGUAACACGUGAGUAACCUGCCCUCAUCUCUGGGAUAACAGUCGGAAACGGUUGCUAAUACUGGAUAUGAGCUUGCAAGGCAUCUUGUGGGUUGGAAAGAUUUUUUUUGGUUGGGGAUGGACUCGCGGUCUAUCAGCUUGUUGGUGAGGUAGUGGCUCACCAAGGCUUCGACGGGUAGCCGGCCUGAGAGGGCGACCGGCCACAUUGGGACUGAGAUACGGCCCAAACUCCUACGGGAGGCAGCAGUGGGGAAUAUUGCACAAUGGACGGAAGUCUGAUGCAGCAACGCCGCGUGCGGGAUGACGGCCUUCGGGUUGUAAACCGCUUUCAAUUGUGACGAAGCUUUUUUGUGACGGUAGCAGUAGAAGAAGCACCGGCUAACUACGUG